rnacentral:lncRNA from 1 species
UUGAUAGUCUUGAGACAACUAAAACGAUUUUUGCUUUCUUUUUGUUUUUAUCAUCAUUUUAUUUUUGAUCUAACUGCAAAUAAACUGCUUGUAUCAUAAUUUUUUAUUUAAUUUAGUAUUUUUUAUAAAAAAAAAAUUAAACAAUAAACAUGUGGCAAAAUUUGAUUGGCCAGGCGACUUGCGCUUUAGUAUAUAGGGGAUAAUUUGUAUAAGGAAAAGGAGAAGAACAAAGACAAUGAUAAAGAACGACAAUGCUUUAUGUUUUUUUUUUCUUUUUU